ensembl:lncRNA
UCCAGACAGGCAAGGUAGAGAGUGAUAAUCUGUGAGGCCCAUGAAGCUGUGCUACCAAAAAUCUGCCUCACAGAAUCUUUUCCAGGCCUAAGGCUACAACGUACAUUCUUAAUGUCAGGGUCUGAGGCCCAGGAACGGCUGAAAUGUCCUUUGUGUCAGGGAGCGACGUGAUGGUAUGGAUACACCAGCUGAAGGCUAUCUUGGGAACCUCUGGCUCCAGUUCUGUGGUCCAAACAGCCAGGCACAUCAGCCGUCAGAAAGAAGCAGACACAAUAGGAAUUGUAAGCCCCCUAAACCAGAACACCCCAAGAAGAGGAGGAAGAGUCAGGGAGCAGAGCUUCCCCCACCUGAACAACAGAACGACGAAACACCAUGGAAAAUCGUGGCUGGUGAAAUAAUAUUGAUUUGUCAUAGGAACCUUGGCCAGGUAUCCCUCCAGAUACCAAACCGUUUCCAUAGCAAUCCAGCUGUUCUCAUCGUAACAAAGGAGAUACAUUGCAAGGACUUUCCAUUCUUUAGACACCUGAUUCUAUAUACAAUUAUCUGCCAAUGGGAGAUUUUUCAAGGGAAACAUAAAGAAAAGCUCUGUACAGAUUGCCGCAGAGAUGGGAACGGAGUCCUAAACUGUCAUAAGGCUUCUGAUCAAUGAGCCUAAACAGGGACUUUUCAUACAGACACUCCCACCCUCUAAGGAACAGCCUCUGAUUUUGUUCAGGGACCAAGAGGUUUUCUUUAUGAGACGAGGACCGCAGUUAUUAAAUGAUGGACAGUACUUCUGCCGACACCACCUCCUUCUCCCCAAUGCCCUGGAAGGAAUCUAACAUGAUUCAUGUUAGCAACCAGAUAAGAUAGAAAAAUCAACAGAUAAAAUAUUGAGAUUUAAUUGUAUCCAUUUUGUUUGUUUUUGACAGUUUUACUAUCCUUUCUUGACUUGGGCAUCUCCCUGAGUUCUGCUUUGGGAUGGUGAUUUAGAAACAAACAAAUCUAAUUAGGAGCAUAAGGAGAGCCUUGCUGGAUUAGACCCGAGCUCUAGAUUUUGUGGAGUUUCCAGCUGUGGCUACUCAGAAAGCCCUAAAGCUGUCUUAGUCACUUCAUCACUAUCUUCUCUUCCUUUACCCUCCCCAAGUCAGAGUUUGGAAUUGUUAUUUUUGAGACAAUUAUUACCCAAAUCCCCUAGUAGUGUGGUCAGUGACCAUGGAAAGAAAGAAAGAAAGAAAGAAAGUCACCCUUCCAAGCUCUAGGAAGCCCACUAACAUGAUAUGAAAGGAACUUUCCCUAAAUAUCUGGUUUCCAAAGGUAUGACAACUGUUGGAUGGAUGGAUGGAUGGAUGGAUGGAUGGAUGGAUGGAUGGAUGGAUGGAUGGAUGGAUGGAUGGAUAGAUAGAUAGAUAGAUAGAUAGAUAGAUAGAUAGAUAGAUAGAUAGAUAGAUAGAUAGAUAGAUAGAUAGAUAGAUAGAUAGAUAGAUAGAUAGAUAGAUAGAUAGAUAGAAAAACUCACAAAUAAGAACAAUAUUAAAAACAUAAGUAAACCAACAAAAUAAAAUUAUCCCUUUAAGAAAUCCCCUUGCUAAA